UUGGGUUGUGAGCACAGCCAUGUAAGAGGACAAAAGAACCAUGUGGUGCAGCCUAGGAAACCAAAAUUAAGAGUUUACUACACCGGGGGAAGAAUGAUGCCACUCCCUCCCUUUAAUAAUAAUAAUAAUAAUAAUAAUAAUAAUAAUUGUGAGAAUCCGUACGGGCGUGUGUUUAGUCCUACAUCAAUUAUUCGCUAGAUAGAUCUUGGAUACUUAUACAGGAUCAAGAAAUCCAAAUAAUACCUUCCGACUAGCCAUUUUGAAUAAGGCCCUAUAUUGUUACAAAUGAUAUCAGAGCGGACCCGGCCUAUAACCUAUACAGACUAGGGGACAUUGCAGCACAAAUCCAUUGGGAUUGACCACGGGCCAAUUGUGGUAUUUGUGUUUAGAUUUGAACCCGUAGCCUGAUAAGGACGUCAGAACUUGAACGGAGGAAUUAUGUGAGAACCGUGCAGGCGUGUGUUUAGUCCCACAUCGGUUAUUUACUAGAUAGAUCUUGGGUACUUAUACAGGAUCAAAAAAUCCAAAUAAUAUUUUCUGGCUAGUCAUUUUAGAUAACAAGAAGACGACGACGACGAUAAUCUGAUCUCAAGAUAUGCCUAUUCUAAAUUUUAAAAAGAAAAUGGUUUAUUCAAAAAUCUAUUUCAAGAU
rnacentral:lncRNA from 1 species